CUGUGUCUCAGGCUGGGAAAAUAUGCCUGUACUUACCAGGACUCUGGUGACUCUGUGUUCCUUAUGCUAGGGAUGAAAAUCCUGAAAGUAAUCAGAGGAAUGCGUGACUAGGAAUUGUGGCGUGUGGGGUGGACACAGCUGGAAGUCCUUGGGGCAAGAAGUGCUAAUAAUCAGAAACUGCAGAAUGAAGGUAAGUUCAGACUUUCCUGCUAUGGAAAACAAGGCAGAAGAAGAUGCAGCACGUCAAUUACGGUCUCAUGGUAAAUCAGGAAUAAAGGACUAUGUCUAUUCGACUGCAAUGACUCAGCUGAUGAAAACUUCUAAGAACUGAUUGCAGAACUGAGCCUGCCAUAGGAAUCAGACAGCAUGGAAUAAUGGACUGAGUUUAUUAAAAAAGAAGAAGGAGGAAGAGGAGGAGGAGGAGGAGGAGGAGGAAAGAAAAAUAAAGCAGAAUCAGACUGGGCCUGUUAAAACACCAGAGGGCAGAUGGCUUGCAGUUCCACCAUGUUCAAGAACUAAGUCUAGUCAAGGUCUUUGAAUCCUGCCAUGCUGGUUGCUCACUGCCUUGCCACAACCAGAGGGACGAUUAAUGUGUGAAAUCCACUUUGGUCCAUUCUCCAUGUCAUAUGCCUGGAGAGAGGCUGCACCAGCCUAGAGGGCACACUUCUAAUAUUUGCAAGAAUUGCUGGCAGCACCUGCCUGUGAUGGUCUGUAAGAGGCUGCUGAGUUCUUAACCAGGGCCCAAUGGUCCACCUGGCCCGCUGGUGGGCUGCAGGGCUGCAGGAAGCCACAGCACUGACCUGCAGGGGCAGCAGUCAGAGCUGCUCAUCUCACCCCUUCCUCUCUUUUUCCCUCUGGUCUCCACUCAAGCAACACUUGGUUCACACUUCAACUCCCAGGGCACAAGUCCUCCCCAGCACUGAAGAACUGGGGUUUUAACCUCCAUGUGGAAGAGGCAGAAGUUCAAAUUCAACAGGAAAACAUCUGAAGAGACAGUAACUAAACUGAGGCUGCAUAUGGUUUCUUGCAGAAUGGGUUCUUAACUCUGUGGCAACCUGAGAGUUAAGGUGGGGCAGAGAACCAAGCACAGAGGAGUGGAAGAUCCCGUACCACGUGCACAUUGUCCAGCCUGCAGUCUGGCGAGAAGAAGGGGCUUUCUAGAGUCUCUGUGCCUGCUUGGUCAGUGUUCACACCACCGUGGCCCCCCAUUGCGUCAGUCGGGUUGUGGAAUCCUGUGGACUCCUUGAUCCAGAAAGCUGCUCCCUGCAGGAGCAGGGAGUACCAAAGCUCCUGGAAGCAAUGAUGCUUGGAACUGUUUUCCCAUCGUUUCCUGAAGAUCUUCCCCAGUGUCUCUCUGGACACUACACAUUGCAAAAUGUGAGGAUCAGAGUUAUUUAUCACCAGCACCUUCCCCUCCAGGCGGCGGACCAAUUUCCUUUCCUCCAGAUGGCUCUCAAGGCUAGCCAAAGAGAGGACUGGGCUGGCCAUCUGCUUCCUGUUGCCUUUUCAAGCUGGCUAGCCACUCAGCAUGCCUGGCAAAGCCCAAUGCGCCAGCUGUCAGUCUAGGCUGCCCCCGCUUGGCCUCAUACCUUGUCAUACCAGGCACAGGAGGGCCGGGGCCGUGCUGAGAUCAGUGUUUGACACUCAUGAGGUAGGGUCCUUUGCUUCCAAGCCCAGGGCAGCCAGCUUCCCUGAUGGCAGACAUAAAAGUUGCCUGACCUGGGACUUCCUCUGAGAAUGAUCUUCUCACUGAUUUAAUGUCUAUCUAAAGGAGACGACUUUGGGGAGGAGGAAGGCAAUGUUUGUGGUCAGCAGAGAAGGCAGAAUACAAAGUAAUUCUGAAUCCCAUAAAAGUAAACAAUUAAAUCAUGAUUUCCUAUUUGCCUCCUGUUUUUGUUUUCUUUUCUUUCUUAUUGUUUGGUACUGGGGAUCAAACCCAGGGACACUCAGCUACCUCCUAGUCCUUUCGUCAUUGUCA